rnacentral:tRNA from 1 species
UGGGGUGUCGUCUAAUGGUAGGACACCGGGUUUUGGUCCCGGCAGUCGGGGUUCGACUCCCUGCGCCCCAGCAA